rnacentral:pre_miRNA from 1 species
UAAGUACUCCCUCCGUCCCAAAAUUCUUGUCUUAGAUUUGUCUAGAUACGGAUGUAUCAAAAUACUAAAACGUGACUUGAUACAUCUGUAUCUAGACAAAUCUAAGACAAGAAUUUUGGGGCGGAGGGAGUAUGAU